rnacentral:rRNA from 1 species
AGUGAACGCUGGCGGCAGGCCUAAUACAUGCAAGUCGAACGGCAGCACAGUGGAGCUUGCUCCAUGGGUGGCGAGUGGCGGACGGGUGAGGAAUACAUGGGAAUCUGCCCAGUCGUGGGGAUAACGUAUGGAAACGUACGCUAAUACCGCAUGCGCCCUUCGGGGAAAGUCGGGGACCGCAAGGCCUGACGCGAUUGGAUGAGCCCAUGUUCGAUUAGCUAGUUGGCGGGGUAACGGCCCACCAAGGCGACGAUCGAUAGCUGGUCUGAGAGGAUGAUCAGCCACACUGGAACUGAGACACGGUCCAGACUCCUACGGGAGGCAGCAGUAGGGAAUAUUGGACAAUGGGCGCAAGCCUGAUCCAGCCAUGCCGCGUGAGUGAAGAAGGCCCUCGGGUUGUAAAGCUCUUUUGUUGGGGAAGAAAAGCAGUUGGUUAAUACCCGAUUGUUCUGACGGUACCCAAAGAAUAAAGCACCGGCUAACUUCGUGCCAGCAGCCG